GCGAAUGGCUCAUUAAAUCAGUUAUCGUUUAUUUGAUAGUACCUUACUACUUGGAUAACCGUGGUAAUUCUAGAGCUAAUACAUGCUAAAAACCCCGACUUCGGAAGGGGUGUAUUUAUUAGAUAAAAAACCAACGCCCUUCGGGGCUUCUUGGUGAUUCAUGAUAACUUUACGGAUCGCAUGGCCUUGCGCCGGCGACGGUUCAUUCAAAUUUCUGCCCUAUCAACUUUCGAUGGUAAGGUAUUGGCUUACCAUGGUUUCAACGGGUAACGGGGAAUUAGGGUUCGAUUCCGGAGAGGGAGCCUGAGAAACGGCUACCACAUCCAAGGAAGGCAGCAGGCGCGCAAAUUACCCAAUCCCGACACGGGGAGGUAGUGACAAUAAAUACUGAUACAGGGCUCUUUUGGGUCUUGUAAUUGGAAUGAGUACAAUUUAAACCUCUUAACGAGGAACAAUUGGAGGGCAAGUCUGGUGCCAGCAGCCGCGGUAAUUCCAGCUCCAAUAGCGUAUAUUAAAGUUGUUGCAGUUAAAAAGCUCGUAGUUGAAACUUGGGUCUGGCUGGCAGGUCCGCCUCACCGCGUGUACUUGUCCGGCCGGGCCUUCCUUCUGGAGAACCUCAUGCCCUUCACUGGGCGUGUUGGGGACCAGGACUUUUACUUUGAAAAAAUUAGAGUGUUCAAAGCAGGCCUUUGCUCGAAUACGUUAGCAUGGAAUAAUAGAAUAGGACGUGCGGUCCUAUUUUGUUGGUUUCUAGGACCGCCGUAAUGAUUAAUAGGGACAGUCGGGGGCAUCAGUAUUCAAUUGUCAGAGGUGAAAUUCUUGGAUUUAUUGAAGACUAACUACUGCGAAAGCAUUUGCCAAGGAUGUUUUCAUUAAUCAGUGAACGAAAGUUAGGGGAUCGAAGACGAUCAGAUACCGUCGUAGUCUUAACCGUAAACUAUGCCGACUAGGGAUCGGGCGAUGUUCUUUUUCUGACUCGCUCGGCACCUUACGAG
rnacentral:rRNA from 2 species